rnacentral:rRNA from 1 species
UACGUAGGCAGCGAGCGUUGUUCGGAGUUACUGGGCGUAAAGGGUGCGUAGGCGGUUGUUUAAGUUUGGUGUGAAAUCGUCCCGCUCAACUGGGAGGUGCGCCGAAUACUGAAUGACUAGAGUGCGGGAGAGGAGAGUGGAAUUCCUGGUGUAGCGGUGAAAUGCGUAGAUAUCAGGAGGAACACCGGUGGUGUAGACGGCUCUCUGGACCGUAACUGACGCUGAGGCACGAAAGCGUGGGUAGCAAACAGG